CACUAUCGUUAACUGAAUACAUAGGUUAACGAGGCGAACCGGGGGAACUGAAACAUCUAAGUACCCCGAGGAAAAGAAAUCAACCGAGAUUCCCCCAGUAGCGGCGAGCGAACGGGGAGCAGCCCAGAGUCUGAAUCAGCUUGUGUGUUAGUGGAACGGUCUGGAAAGUCCGACGGUACAGGGUGAUAGUCCCGUACACCAAAAUGCACAGGCUGUGAACUCGAAGAGUAGGGCGGGACACGUGGUAUCCUGUCUGAAUAUGGGGGGACCAUCCUCCAAGGCUAAAUACUCCUGACUGACCGAUAGUGAACCAGUACCGUGAGGGAAAGGCGAAAAGAACCCCGGCGAGGGGAGUGAAAAAGAACCUGAAACCGUGUACGUACAAGCAGUGGGAGCACCUUCGGGUGUGACUGCGUACCUUUUGUAUAAUGGGUCAGCGACUUAUAUUCUGUAGCAAGGUUAACCGUAUAGGGGAGCCGCAGGGAAACCGAGUCUUAACUGGGCGUUAAGUUGCAGGGUAUAGACCCGAAACCCGGUGAUCUAGCCAUGGGCAGGUUGAAGGUUGGGUAACACUAACUGGAGGACCGAACCGACUAAUGUUGAAAAAUUAGCGGAUGACUUGUGGCUGGGGGUGAAAGGCCAAUCAAACCGGGAGAUAGCUGGUUCUCCCCGAAAGCUAUUUAGGUAGCGCCUCGUGAACUCAUCUUCGGGGGUAGAGCACUGUUUCGGCUAGGGGGUCAUCCCGACUUACCAACCCGAUGCAAACUACGAAUACCGAAGAAUGUUAUCACGGGAGACACACGGCGGGUGCUAACGUCCGUCGUGAAGAGGGAAACAACCCAGACCGCCAGCUAAGGUCCCAAAGUCAUGGUUAAGUGGGAAACGAUGUGGGAAGGCACAGACAGCCAGGAUGUUGGCUUAGAAGCAGCCAUCAUUUAAAGAAAGCGUAAUAGCUCACUGGUCGAGUCGGCCUGCGCGGAAGAUGUAACGGGGCUAAACCAUGCACCGAAGCUGCGGCAGCGACACUAUGUGUUGUUGGGUAGGGGAGCGUUCUGUAAGCCUGCGAAGGUGUGCUGUGAGGCAUGCUGGAGGUAUCAGAAGUGCGAAUGCUGACAUAAGUAACGAUAAAGCGGGUGAAAAGCCCGCUCGCCGGAAGACCAAGGGUUCCUGUCCAACGUUAAUCGGGGCAGGGUGAGUCGACCCCUAAGGCGAGGCCGAAAGGCGUAGUCGAUGGGAAACAGGUUAAUAUUCCUGUACUUGGUGUUACUGCGAAGGGGGGACGGAGAAGGCUAUGUUAGCCGGGCGACGGUUGUCCCGGUUUAAGCAUGUAGGCUGGUUAUCCAGGCAAAUCCGGAUAAUCAAGGCUGAGGUGUGAUGACGAGGCACUACGGUGCUGAAGUAACAAAUGCCCUGCUUCCAGGAAAAGCCUCUAAGCAUCAGGUAACAUCAAAUCGUACCCCAAACCGACACAGGUGGUCAGGUAGAGAAUACCAAGGCGCUUGAGAGAACUCGGGUGAAGGAACUAGGCAAAAUGGUGCCGUAACUUCGGGAGAAGGCACGCUGGUGUGUAGGUGAAGUCCCUGCGGAUGGAGCUGAGACCAGUCGAAGAUACCAGCUGGCUGCAACUGUUUAUUAAAAACACAGCACUGUGCAAACACGAAAGUGGACGUAUACGGUGUGACGCCUGCCCGGUGCCGGAAGGUUAAUUGAUGGGGUUAUCCGUAAGGAGAAGCUCUUGAUCGAAGCCCCGGUAAACGGCGGCCGUAACUAUAACGGUCCUAAGGUAGCGAAAUUCCUUGUCGGGUAAGUUCCGACCUGCACGAAUGGCGUAAUGAUGGCCAGGCUGUCUCCACCCGAGACUCAGUGAAAUUGAACUCGCUGUGAAGAUGCAGUGUACCCGCGGCAAGACGGAAAGACCCCGUGAACCUUUACUAUAGCUUGACACUGAACAUUGAGCCUUGAUGUGUAGGAUAGGUGGGAGGCUUUGAAGCGUGGACGCCAGUCUGCGUGGAGCCAACCUUGAAAUACCACCCUUUAAUGUUUGAUGUUCUAACGUUGGCCCCUGACCGGGGUUGCGGACAGUGUCUGGUGGGUAGUUUGACUGGGGCGGUCUCCUCCCAAAGCGUAACGGAGGAGCACGAAGGUUAGCUAAUCCUGGUCGGACAUCAGGAGGUUAGUGCAAUGGCAUAAGCUAGCUUGACUGCGAGCGUGACGGCGCGAGCAGGUGCGAAAGCAGGUCAUAGUGAUCCGGUGGUUCUGAAUGGAAGGGCCAUCGCUCAACGGAUAAAAGGUACUCCGGGGAUAACAGGCUGAUACCGCCCAAGAGUUCAUAUCGACGGCGGUGUUUGGCACCUCGAUGUCGGCUCAUCACAUCCUGGGGCUGAAGUAGGUCCCAAGGGUAUGGCUGUUCGCCAUUUAAAGUGGUACGCGAGCUGGGUUUAGAACGUCGUGAGACAGUUCGGUCCCUAUCUGCCGUGGGCGCUGGAGAAUUGAGGGGGGCUGCUCCUAGUACGAGAGGACCGGAGUGGACGCAUCACUGGUGUUCGGGUUGUCAUGCCAAUGGCACUGCCCGGUAGCUAAAUGCGGAAGAGAUAAGUGCUGAAAGCAUCUAAGCACGAAACUUGCCCCGAGAUGAGUUCUCCCUGAGACUUUAAGUCUCCUGAAGGAACGUU
rnacentral:rRNA from 1 species